AAGUCACGAAGUCACUCGAAAUUUCGCAGUCCUUAAAGGAAUGCCUUAGUCGAUUUCCAUCUUGUCGUAUGUAUCUCCAGAGAUUGAGGUCCACGUAUCUCAAACGUGCAAAAAGGACUCAACAUCCCCAUUCCAUACACAAUUCUUAACAAAAACACUCCUGUAUGUUUUUAUUUGACGCAUAAAUAAAGAAAUGGCAUGAAUCUACAAAUUUACUAUUGCAAUUUCAUAAAAUCCAUGCCAUUUCUUUAUGUCUGCGUUAAAUAAAAACGUAAUGGAGUGUUUUAGUUCAAAAUUGUGUAUAUAAUGGAGCUGUUAAGCCUUUUUUCGCGUUCGAGAUACGUGGGCUUUGAUAUUCGGAGAUAUUUAUACGUCAACGUCGAUAUCGACCAGGGCACCACCUUGAGUCAAGAUUAUCACGGAAUGGUUGACUUCCUCGUUGGACCAAGAUCCCGGGAUGAAAAGAGACGAAGCAACAUUGAGGAAAUAUAAAAAGCCGAAGAACUCACCGAAUACAAGCACCUGGUACCUCGAGGACCGCAGCCGUGACACGUAGACCACUUGAGGAUCUGGCACCGGAGUCUCUGCAUCACGUAUACGCAUGGUUCACCGAAUUUCCUGAAAGAUACGACACAUUCGAGGUCUCGACGGUAUCAGUUGCGGAGGGUGUAAAGUAUAAGCAACGAUAUAAAGAUGGUUUUCGAGCCAGGCCAAGAGAGCAAACAUAAGCCAACCCCAUGACAAACAAACGUGCGGCUCCUGCAAUAUCGAGUUUCCACGGAGGCCCGUUCGCUCCAUGUAUCCAUCAAAACCUUGGUGGGGUGGUCCAGGAGCAAAUCUCUUUGCCGUUCGUGAGGAGCGCCCCAAAUUUUUUGGGGUGAACCGUAAAAUUUGUUAUCAAUCAGUCCCGGGAUUACGGUGAAAAAUCGCCUUCUUAAAAAAAUUGGUGCAGUGGCUGGAGAUGCGAUUAUGGAUGUUUUAGAAGACUCCUUGCAGGCGUCGUAACGACUUACGGUGCAGGACGCGUGCAUCGGGUAUGGGAAGAGAGCGCUGAUGAAGAAGAUGGACGCGAGGAUGACGAAGACGGCACCGAUGCAACAGAAGCUGAAACGGCAUCCUGAAGAUAUCCGACUCGUCGCCCGAACUUCCGGUAUAACGUCUGCCGAAAAAAAUCCCUUGAAUUAUUUAAAAAACACGAAGUACAGUGCUCGCUUCCGUUUUCUACGUCUCAACCGAUGGAUGGCGUAAAAAAAAUCAAGAACCAGAACCGCGCCGCAGAUUAAUUAUCGCACGCGAGAGUGCGGCGUGAUUCCCCCGAGGAUUUAUCGCGUGCCAUAUCUUUGUCGAGUCGUGGAAACUGAAUAAUACGUGAAAAUGAACCAUUACGCGAAACUGACAGAGGCUCCUCAGGCUUAAGGACUCUCUCGGUCUCAUGACGAGAAUACGGUGGCGGAUAAUCGGGCAUCUGGAGGGCCGAAAUCCGCUGCUUGUAUCGCGGCAUCGCGAGCCUUUUUUAUACGUCGACACUUCGAAACGGUAUGCUUUUCUGAAUGUCAGUCCAUCCGUGUCGUCAACAUUCUCGCCUUACUGCGGACAGAGGUAAAAAUUUAUUCUUCCUGCGGCACCGCUGCAAUCGUGUACCAAUAUCGAUGAUUAAUAUACGCUCUCGUUCCGCACCGCGAAUAUAAGUAUAAUAACACCCGGCUCUCGGACAAUCUUGUUCUCCGCCUAUUUUCAACGUGACGUAAAUAAUUCACUCCAUGCUUGUUUUAUCACGUUCAUUUUUUUUUUUUUUUUAACUUUUAUUUACACGCAAUUCAAUGUUUUCCACGAUAUUUUCAUACUGAUCUUCGAUUGUGAGUCCGGUUGCCGUGUAUGCAAAAAAAAAAAAAAACAUCCGAAAGUAAUAUUUUUCGAUACCACUAUGUUCUUCUUCUAAUCGUCCAGGUAGAGGGGGGGAGAUAAUUAGUGGUCUAAAUCGAGAAUUUCGAGCAGAUGCUGCAGCAGCUUCGGCCGUCAUCUUUGAAUUUGUGGUGGAAUUUGUUUUAGUUAAAUAACUCACCGAUAUUCAACUUUUUACUCAAAAAUGAUCGUAACUAAAGUUGUAGGAAAUUGAAUUUUCCACAACUUUUGUCAUUAUCAUUUUUUGUAACUUAAACCAUACAUUCAAGAUGGCGACCAAAGAUAUACUGCAGAAUCUGAUUGAAAUUCGGUAUUUACACUCAGGGAAAUUUUUAGUUCCGGUUCAAUCAUCCGGCACAAUCGAAAAAUAUAGUUCUAGGUAGAAAAUGAAAAUUAGUUUUUUAGCUGUUACCAGAAAGUCCAGUAUCCGUUACUAUU